CAACGCUGGCGGCGUGCCUAACACAUGCAAGUCGAACGCGAAAGUCCCGCAAGGGAUUAGUAGAGUGGCAAACGGGUGAGUAACACGUGGGUGACCUGCCUUCGAGUGGGGGAUAACGUCCCGAAAGGGACGCUAAUACCGCAUGACAUCCUGCCUAUGAAGAGGUGGAGCUUAAAGCCGGGGAUCGCAAGACCUGGCGCUUGAAGAGGGGCCCGCGCCUGAUUAGCUAGUUGGUGAGGUAACGGCUCACCAAGGCAUCGAUCAGUAUCCGGCCUGAGAGGGCGGACGGACACACUGGGACUGAGACACGGCCCAGACUCCUACGGGAGGCAGCAGUGGGGAAUUGUUCGCAAUGGGCGCAAGCCUGACGACGCAACGCCGCGUGGAGGAUGAAGAUCUUCGGGUCGUAAACUCCUUUCGAUCGAGACGAACGGCUUCCGGGUGAACAAUCCGGAAGAGUGACGGUACCGAGAGAAGAAGCCCCGGCUAACUCCGUGCCAGCAGCCGCGGUAAUACGGGGGGGGCAAGCGUUGUUCGGAAUUACUGGGCGUAAAGGGCUCGUAGGCGGCCAACUAAGUCAGACGUGAAAUCCCUCGGCUUAACCGGGGAACUGCGUCUGAUACUGGAUGGCUUGAGAUUGGGAGAGGGAUGCGGAAUUCCAGGUGUAGCGGUGAAAUGCGUAGAUAUCUGGAGGAACACCGGUGGCGAAGGCGGCAUCCUGGACCAACACUGACGCUGAGGAGCGAAAGCCAG
rnacentral:rRNA from 1 species